GCGGUUCUGCGCGGUGCGCGCUCUAGCAAUUAUCCCUGAGGCUAUAAAUACAUCCAAGGGAGCUGUCCCUGUUCGAAUUCUGGUUCGAUGCAUACGGCGCCCACCUGACGUUUGGGCGUCAGUGGAUAUUCAAGCAAACGGCCUGGCAGCGGUUCCGCC
rnacentral:sRNA from 2 species